rnacentral:rRNA from 1 species
GACGAACGCUGGCGGCGUGCUUAACACAUGCAAGUCGAACGCUGAAGCUCAGCUUGCUGGGUGGAUGAGUGGCGAACGGGUGAGUAACACGUGAGUAACCUGCCCUCUUCUUUGGGAUAACGCCCGGAAACGGGUGCUAAUACUGGAUAUUCACUGAUUCUCGCAUGGGGGUUGGUGGAAAGGUUUUUUCUGGUGGGGGAUGGGCUCGCGGCCUAUCAGCUUGUUGGUGGGGUGAUGGCCUACCAAGGCUUUGACGGGUAGCCGGCCUGAGAGGGUGACCGGUCACAUUGGGACUGAGAUACGGCCCAGACUCCUACGGGAGGCAGCAGUGGGGAAUAGUGCACAAUGGGCGAAAGCCUGAUGCAGCGACGACGCGUGAGGGAUGGAGGCCUUCGGGUUGUAAACCUCUUUCGCUCAUGGUCAAGCCGCAGCUUUGGGUUGUGGUGAGGGUAGUGGGUAAAGAAGCGCCGGCUAACUACGUG